AGUGAACGCUGGCGGUAGGCCUAACACAUGCAAGUCGAACGGCAGCACAGUAAGAGCUUGCUCUUACGGGUGGCGAGUGGCGGACGGGUGAGGAAUACAUCGGAAUCUACUUUUUCGUGGGGGAUAACGUAGGGAAACUUACGCUAAUACCGCAUACGACCUACGGGUGAAAGCAGGGGAUCUUCGGACCUUGCGCGAUUGAAUGAGCCGAUGUCGGAUUAGCUAGUUGGCGGGGUAAAGGCCCACCAAGGCGACGAUCCGUAGCUAGUCUGAGAGGAUGAUCAGCCACACUGGAACUGAGACACGGUCCAGACUCCUACGGGAGGAAGCAGUGGGGAAUAUUGGACAAUGGGCGCAAGCCUGAUCCAGCCAUACCGCGUGGGUGAAGAAGGCCUUCGGGUUGUAAAGCCCUUUUGUUGGGAAAGAAAAGCAGCAGGUUAAUACCCCGCUGUUCUGACGGUACCCAAAGAAUAAGCACCGGCUAACUUCGUG
rnacentral:rRNA from 1 species